UGGAGCAGAGACUGAAGGAAAGGUCAUCUAGAGACUGUCCCACCUAGGGAUCCAUCACAUAUACAGAUAUCAAACCUAGGUACUAUUGUUGAUGCCAAGAAUUGCUUGCUGACAGGAGCCUGGUAUAGCUGUCCCCUGAGAGAUUCUGCAAGUACCUGAGCCCACAGACCCCAACGGAAGAGACAGGAGAAGGACUGAAGGAGUGGAAGGGGAUUAAAACUCCAUAGGAAGAAAAACAGUAACAACUAACUGGACCACCCAGAGCUCCCAGAGACUAAACCACCAACCAAAGGGUACACAUGGAGCAACUCAUGGUUCCAGAAUUUUCUUGAAGGUAACUGGAGUGGAUAGUAGCAGGAAUUACCAGCCAACAAGAAUAAAAAGCACCUACUUAUAAAUGAUUAUACUAUGUCCGACUUUGUUCGAAGUAUUUUCCAUGUCAAGUGGACCUGAAAUUCUUAGGUUGGCCUGGGCUUUCUAAUGAUACCAUGUUAAUGGACUCCCAAGAGAUUAGAUGCAAGAUACUAAAGACAUGAUUUUCCAAAUAAAACUAUGAAGCUGCAUCAAUCCUUCA